rnacentral:rRNA from 1 species
CGUANGGUGCGAGCGUUGUCCGGAAUUACUGGGCGUAAAGGGCUCGUAGGUGGUUUGUCGCGUCGUCUGUGAAAUUCCGGGGCUUAACUCCGGGCAUGCAGGCGAUACGGGCAUAACUUGAGUACUGUAGGGGUAACUGGAAUUCCUGGUGUAGCGGUGAAAUGCGCAGAUAUCAGGAGGAACACCGAUGACGAAGGCAGGUUACUGGGCAGUUACUGACGCUGAGGAGCGGAAGCAUGGGUAGCGAACAGGAUUAGAUACCCUGGUAGUCAAGGGCG